AUAGUUGAUUCUUUUAUAUAUCUUUCAACUAUAACAUGUAAACGAAGAGUUUCACUUGUUUCAUGUUGGGGAGGAAGAGAAAACUAAAUCUUUUACAGGGUAACCCAAAGCAUCAAGUAUGUAAUGAUAUUGCAUCUCUGUAUCAAAUUUGGUUGUGGGUCCAGUAUAUCACUGGUGUAGCAUUAUGUUUUCCUGUCUUGAUUAGUCUUUUACUCUGAAUACAAGCAAAUUAAGGCUAGCAUUGCUACUUUAAAAUGUAUGUGAAUUCACAUGACUUCUGUUAGUGCCUUUGUAAGUUCAGUAGCAUUGUCAUCGGAAAACGGGAAAAGUGUCAUUUGUUUAAGAAACUGAAUUUCAAUCAUUUUUCUCUAACUUGUUUGGAUUAAAAAUAUCAGGCUGAAGGAUCUAAUGUGUCUCUUUGAUGAAUAAAUUUAGUGUAAUUUCGAUGUUGUAAUGCUUUUAUAAAGUUAAUUAUGCCUCUGGCAAUUGUUUCUUUGCCUUUCAAACUCAUAUUUUCAUGAGCUGCUGCAUGUGCCAAUCAGGUACUAUCAUAACAUUACUUCAAAUACCCUCACUGUCUUAGAAGCUAUGGCAGCUCAUGGAGUCCCCACAUUGAUUUACUCUAGUACAUGUGCGACAUACGGAGAGCCUGAAAGGAUGCCCAUUACUGAAGAAACUCCACAGGUGAGUGUUUUAAAUUGUGUAUAUGCUUCGAGUACACCAGAACGGAGAGCCUGAAAAGAUGCCCAUUACUGAAGAAACUCCACAGGUGAGUGUUUUAAAUUGUGUAUAUGCUUCGAGUACACCAGAACCGUGUGAAUGCCUAUCUGUUACGUCAAUUGGUACGCAAUAGCUGAGUCUUUUUGUCAAAUCGCAG
rnacentral:lncRNA from 1 species